AUCACCUGAGGAUCUUGUUGAAAUGCAGAUUCUGAUUCAAUCAGUCUGAGGUGGGACCAGGGACUCUUCCUUUCCAACAAGCUCUCAGGUGAUGCCAU
rfam:Myotis lucifugus cont2.15621, whole genome shotgun sequence.